rnacentral:rRNA from 1 species
GAGUUUGAUCCUGGCUCAGGACGAACGCUGGCGGCGUGCCUAAUACAUGCAAGUCGAGCGAGCUGAAUUCAAAGAUUCCUUCGGGAUGAUUUGUUGGACGCUAGCGGCGGAUGGGUGAGUAACACGUGGGCAAUCUGCCCUAAAGACUGGGAUACCACUUGGAAACAGGUGCUAAUACCGGAUAACAACAUGAAUCGCAUGAUUCAAGUUUGAAAGGCGGCGCAAGCUGUCACUUUAGGAUGAGCCCGCGGCGCAUUAGCUAGUUGGUGGGGUAAAGGCCUACCAAGGCAAUGAUGCGUAGCCGAGUUGAGAGACUGAUCGGCCACAUUGGGACUGAGACACGGCCCAAACUCCUACGGGAGGCAGCAGUAGGGAAUCUUCCACAAUGGACGCAAGUCUGAUGGAGCAACGCCGCGUGAGUGAAGAAGGUUUUCGGAUCGUAAAGCUCUGUUGUUGGUGAAGAAGGAUAGAGGCAGUAACUGGUCUUUAUUUGACGGUAAUCAACCAGAAAGUCACGGCUAACUACGUGCCAGCAGCCGCGGUAAUACGUAGGUGGCAAGCGUUGUCCGGAUUUAUUGGGCGUAAAGCGAGCGCAGGCGGAAUGAUAAGUCUGAUGUGAAAGCCCACGGCUCAACCGUGGAACUGCAUCGGAAACUGUCAUUCUUGAGUGCAGAAGAGGAGAGUGGAACUCCAUGUGUAGCGGUGAAAUGCGUA